GACGAACGCUGGCGGCGUGCUUAACACAUGCAAGUCGAACGGAAAGGCCCUGCUUUUGUGGGGUGCUCGAGUGGCGAACGGGUGAGUAACACGUGAGUAACCUGCCCUUGACUUUGGGAUAACUUCAGGAAACUGUGGCUAAUACCGUAUAGGAGCUCCUGCUGCAUGGUGGGGGUUGGAAAGUUUCGGCGGUUGGGGAUGGACUCGCGGCUUAUCAGCUUGUUGGUGGGGUAGUGGCUUACCAAGGCUUUGACGGGUAGCCGGCCUGAGAGGGUGACCGGCCACAUUGGGACUGAGAUACGGCCCAGACUCCUACGGGAGGCAGCAGUGGGGAAUAUUGCAAAAUGGGCGGAAGCCUGAUGCAGCAACGCCGCGUGCGGGAUGACGGCCUUCGGGUUGUAAACCGCUUUCACCUGUGACGAAGCGUGAGUGACGGUAAUGGGUAAAGAAGCACCGGCUAACUACGUG
rnacentral:rRNA from 1 species